rnacentral:rRNA from 1 species
UACGGAGGGUGCAAGCAUUAAUCGGAAUUAUUGGGCGUAAAGGGCGCGUAGGCGGAUCUGUAAGUCAGGUGUGAAAUUCCGAGGCUCAACCUCGGAGCUGCAUUUGAAACUCCAGAUCUAGAGGGAUGGCGGAGAAAAUGGAAUUCCACAAGUAGCGGUGAAAUGCGUAGAUAUGUGGAAGAACACCGGUGGCGAAGGCGGUUUUCUAGCUUUCUCCUGACGCUGAGGCGCGAAAGCAAGGGGAGCAAACAGG